rnacentral:tRNA from 1 species
GGCCCUGCUGGAACCGGCGGUCCGGGAUUUCCGGGUGCUCGACCCGGCCAGUGAGACGUCCGAGAUGGGCCCGCUGAUCUCCGCGGCGCAGCGCUCC